UCAACCUCCCACCCGUGUUUAUUUUACCUUGUUGCUUCGGCGGGCCCGCCUUAACUGGCCGCCGGGGGGCUUACGCCCCCGGGCCCGCGCCCGCCGAAGACACCCUCGAACUCUGUCUGAAGAUUGAAGUCUGAGUGAAAAUAUAAAUUAUUUAAAACUUUCAACAACGGAUCUCUUGGUUCCGGCAUCGAUGAAGAACGCAGCGAAAUGCGAUACGUAAUGUGAAUUGCAAAUUCAGUGAAUCAUCGAGUCUUUGAACGCACAUUGCGCCCCCUGGUAUUCCGGGGGGCAUGCCUGUCCGAGCGUCAUUGCUGCCCUCAAGCCCGGCUUGUGUGUUGGGCCCCGUCCCCCGAUCUCCGGGGGACGGGCCCGAAAGGCAGCGGCGGCACCGCGUCCGGUCCUCGAGCGUAUGGGGCUUUGUCACCCGCUCUGUAGGCCCGGCCGGCGCUUGCCGAUCAACCCAAAUUUUUAUCCAGGUUGACCUCGGAUCAGGUAGGGAUACCCGCUGAACUUAAGCAUAUCAAUAAGGCGGAGGAA
rnacentral:rRNA from 1 species